rfam:Heterocephalus glaber contig164809, whole genome shotgun sequence.
GGAUGUGAGGGUGAUCUGGCUGCGACAUCUGUCACCCCAUUGAUUGGAAGGGUUGAUUUGGCUGAUCUGGCUGGCUAGGCGGGUGUCUCCUUUCUCCCUCACCGCUCCAUGUGCGUCCCUCCCGAAGCUGCGCGCUCGGUCGAAGAGGACGACCACCCCCCAGAUAGAGGACGACCGUUUCCUCAGUCAAGGGUAUAUGAGUAGCUGGGCUCCCUUGCUGCAACCUCCAAACAAGCUCUCAAGAUAGUAUUAUUGUUGGUGAAAUGACAACUUAAAAUAGCAUAUCCAAAUGAAAUAGAUCCGUAUCCAAAUGAGUAUUC